rnacentral:lncRNA from 1 species
GCUGGCUGCACUCGGGGGCUGGCGCUCCGCAAUGAGACAGUAGCUGCAUCCCCGCGUGCACUGCUGUAGGGUAACAUCUGGACUGGAAUUGAGGCUCCUCUGGUGCUUGGAUGUCCCUAAGUUCCUGGAUCAGCUUGUUGAAGACUGUGCUGCUGUUGGAAGCUUCUCACUCCUUGGGAUCUUUUCAGGGAAACCAAAACUGAAUAAACUGAGAAUUUAGAUGCUCUAAGUGAAAUCCAUCAAGUCAUCCAUGAAAAUGGUGGCCCUAUCCUUAAAGAUCUGUGUCCGCCACUGCAAUGUGGUGAAGACCAUGCAGUUUGAGCCGUCUACAGCUGUGUAUGACGCCUGUCGAGUCAUUCGGGAGAGAGUACCUGAAGCACAGACCGGGCAAGCUUCUGACUAUGGACUGUUUCUUUCUGAUGAAGACCCCAGGAAAGGGAUUUGGCUAGAAGCAGGUCGGACACUGGAUUACUACAUGUUGCGGAAUGGGGACAUUCUGGAGUACAAGAAGAAACAGAGGCCUCAGAAAAUCCGAAUGUUGGAUGGCUCUGUGAAGACGGUGAUGGUGGAUGACU